AUGAACGCUAGCGGCAGGCUAACACAUGCAAGUCGAGGGGCAGCGAGAUGUAGCAAUACAUGUCGGCGACCGGCGCACGGGUGCGUAACGCGUAUGCAACCUACCAUAUACAGGAGGAUAACCAUUCGAAAGAAUGACUAAUACUCCAUAGUAUUAUUUUGAGGCAUCUUAGAAUAAUUAAAGAAUUUCGGUAUAUGCUGGGCAUGCGUGACAUUAGCUAGUUGGAGAGGUAACGGCCCACCAAGGCUACGAUGUCUAGGGGUUUUGAGAGGAAGAUCCCCCACACUGGUACUGAGACACGGACCAGACUCCUACGGGAGACAGCAGUGAGGAAUAUUGGUCAAUGGACGGAAGUCUGAACCAGCCAUGCCGCGUGAAGGAAAAGACUGCCCUAUGGGUUGUAAACUUCUUUUAUACGGGGAUAAACCUAUCUUUGCGAAGAUAGCUGAAGGUACCGUAUGAAUAAGCAUCGGCUAACUCCGUGCCAGCAGCUGC
rnacentral:rRNA from 1 species